rnacentral:rRNA from 1 species
CAGCCGCCGCGGUAAAACGAAGGGUGCAAGCGUUAAUCGGAAUUACUGGGCGUAAAGCGUGCGUAGGCGGUGAGUUAAGUCUGCUGUGAAAUCCCCGGGCUCAACCUGGGAAUGGCAGUGGAUACUGGCUCGCUAGAGUGUGUCAGAGGAUGGUGGAAUUCCCGGUGUAGCGGUGAAAUGCGUAGAGAUCGGGAGGAACAUCGGUGGCGAAGGCGGCCAUCUGGGACAACACUGACGCUGAGGCACGAAAGCGUGGGGAGCAAACAGGAUUAGAUACCCGCGUAGUCCCUGUCUCUUAUAC